AUCGCUUCUCGGCCUUUUGGCUAAGAUCAAAGUGUAGUAUCUGUUCUUAUCAGCUUAAUAUCUGAUACGGGUCCUAUUUGGACCCAAGAUAUUAAUCUUAUUUUUGGAAUGAGGCGUAGUGCUUGAGGUUUACCUCACCCUAUGCCACGGGUUGGCCUGGUAUUGCACUGCCUCCAGGAUCGGCCCACCCCCC
rnacentral:snRNA from 2 species